AGCUUUGUAGAAAACGAGAGGAGAAAUUCAGUAACAAGAAACAGAAAGGAGGAAGCAGAGAACAAAGCAAAUCAAAAGGAAAACAUAAGAGAGAAAAUGUUACUUGUGGAAUUCACUGCACUUCAGGUAACCCUUCAAUCUUCUAACCUCUUAUUGCUAUAAGAGAUAAGGCUUUGGUGUUUUGAAUCUGUUUGUUUGGAUUUUUGGGAUUUUUGGGGUCUAAUCCGGAUUUAAAAUUAAUGGUUAAGAGUUUAAGAAGAAAUUU
rnacentral:lncRNA from 1 species